rnacentral:rRNA from 2 species
AAACGACUCUCGGCAACGGAUAUCUUGGGUUGCGCCCGAAGCUCUCGGGCUUAGGGCACGUCU